GAUGAACGCUAGCGACAGGCCUAACACAUGCAAGUCGAGGGGCAGCAUGAAAUUAGCUUGCUAAUUUUGAUGGCGACCGGCGCACGGGUGAGUAACACGUAUGCAACCUGCCUGUAAGCGGGGGAUAACCCGGAGAAAUCCGGACUAAUACCGCAUAGUAUCACAAUUUCGCAUGUUAUUGUGAUUAAAGAUUAAUUGCUUACAGAUGGGCAUGCGUCUGAUUAGCUAGUUGGCGGGGUAACGGCCCACCAAGGCAACGAUCAGUAGGGGUUCUGAGAGGAAGGUCCCCCANAUUGGAACUGAGACACGGUCCAAACUCCUACGGGAGGCAGCAGUGUGGAACUAUUGGUCAAUGGACGAGAGUCUGAACCAGCCAUGUCGCGUGAAGGAUGACUGUCCU
rnacentral:rRNA from 1 species